rnacentral:rRNA from 1 species
AUUGAACGCUGGCGGCAGGCUUAACACAUGCAAGUCGAGCGGGCGAGGUUGCUUCGGUAACUGAGCUAGCGGCGGACGGGUGAGUAAAGCUUAGGAAUCUGCCUAUUAGUGGGGGACAACAUUCCGAAAGGGAUGCUAAUACCGCAUACGUCCUACGGGAGAAAGCAGGGGAUCACUUGUGACCUUGCGCUAAUAGAUGAGCCUAAGUCGGAUUAGCUAGUUGGUGGGGUAAAGGCCUACCAAGGCGACGAUCUGUAGCGGGUCUGAGAGGAUGAUCCGCCACACUGGGACUGAGACACGGCCCAGACUCCUACGGGAGGCAGCAGUGGGGAAUAUUGGACAAUGGGGGGAACCCUGAUCCAGCCAUGCCGCGUGUGUGAAGAAGGCCUUUUGGUUGUAAAGCACUUUAAGCGAGGAGGAGGCUUACCUGGUUAAUACCUGGGAUAAGUGGACGUUACUCGCAGAAUAAGCACCGGCUAACUCUGUGCCAGCAGCCGCUGUAACAC